rnacentral:rRNA from 1 species
AUAUCAAUAAGCGGAGGAAAAGAAACCAACAGGGAUUGCCUCAGUAACGGCGAGUGAAGCGGCAACAGCUCAAAUUUGAAAUCUGGAGCCUUCGGCUUCCGAGUUGUAAUUUGAAGAGGAUGUUUCGGUGCGACCUGGGCCUAAGUUCCUUGGAACAGGACGUCAUGGAGGGUGAGAAUCCCGUACAUGGCUGCAGGUUUGCUUCUAUGUGAAACUCCUUCGAAGAGUCGAGUUGUUUGGGAAUGCAGCUCAAAAUGGUGGUAAAUUCAUCUAAGCUAAAUAUGGCNGGGAGACCGAUAGCGCACAAGUAGAGUGAUCGAAAGAUGAAAAGCACUUGAAAAAGAGAGUUAAACAGUACGUGAAAUUGUUGAAAGGGAAGCGCUUGCAAUCAGACUCGCCUUCAGUUGAUCAGCCUUCCUUCUGGUUGGUGCACUCUGCUGUUGGCGGGCCAGCAUCAGUUGGGGCGGUGGGACAAAGGCGGCAGGAAUGUGGCUCGCUUCGGUGAGUGUUAUAGCCUGCUGCGUCAUGCCACCAGCCCCGAUUGAGGUCCGCGGUUCGCCUAGGAUGCUGGCUUAAUGGUUGUAAGCGA